rnacentral:sRNA from 1 species
GGGCUGGGACGCAUGCGAGGCUGCAGGACCGUGUCCUCCACCGAGCGUGACCCCGAGAGUGGAAUCAGCUCACCCAAAGCUCAGGCUUCUGAGGCCCGGGCGGGGGACUCGAAAACGGCUGCUUCUUGGUGAAAACGGGUGCUAAGUGGCUGUUGGAGUGCUGAGGUCUGACGGGAGGCAGUCCCUAUUCGCAGAGGACGAGUGAGCCAGUGCGUGAGUGGGUGGGCAGCAGGGACUCUGUAGCUUCUGGGGUGAAGGUCAGGCGUUGACUCGCAUUAACAUAAAGAGAGGGGACAGCAGAUUACCUAAAACCUCGGGCAGAAGAGGAGAGGAGGAUAGCAGCAGAGGAGAAGAAGAAGCAGGAUGAACUGAAACGAAUUGCCAGAGAAUUGGCAGAAGAUGACAGCAUAUUAAAGUGAGUGACCCUGCGACCCUCUCUUUGGAGCAGCAGCGGAUGAAUAAAGCUUCCUGUGUUGUGUGA